rnacentral:rRNA from 1 species
CAGAGUACCUUUUAUCCUUUGAGCGAUGGCCCUUCCAUACGGAACCACCGGAUCACUAUAUCCGUCUUUCGACCCUGCUCGACUAGUCAGUCUCACAGUCAAGCCCACUUCUACUAUUGCGCUCUACAUCCGGUUACCAAGCGGAUUGAGUGGACCUUUGAAAGCCUCCGAUACUCUUUUGGAGGCGACCACCCCAGUCAAACUACCCAGCAGCCACUGUUCUCUAAGAAACUCAGAGUUAGGCAUCAGGCACAGUAAGGGCGGUAUUUCAACGUUGGCUCCACAAGAACCAGCGGCCCUGCUUCGACGCCUCCCGCCUAUGCUACACAUACUGAACCCAACACCAAUGGCAACCUAUAGUAAAGGUGCACGGGGUCUUUCCGUCUGACCGCAGGAACCCCGCAUCUUCACGGGGAAUUCAAUUUCACUGAGUCUAUGUUGGAGACAGCGGGGAAGUCAUUACGCCUUCG